UACGAAGGGGGCUAGCGUUGCUCGGAAUCACUGGGCGUAAAGGGCGCGUAGGCGGAUCUUUAAGUCGGGGGUGAAAGCCCAGGGCUCAACCCCGGAAUUGCCUUCGAUACUGGAGAUCUUGAGACCGGAAGAGGUAAGUGGAACUGCGAGUGUAGAGGUGAAAUUCGUAGAUAUUCGCAAGAACACCAGUGGCGAAGGCGGCUUACUGGUCCGGUUCUGACGCUGAGGUGCGAAAGCGUGGGGAGCAAACAGG
rnacentral:rRNA from 1 species